GAUGAAGAACGGAGCGAAAUGCGAUACUUGGUGUGAAUUGCAGAAUCCCGUGAACCAUCGAGUCUUUGAACGCAAGUUGCGCCCGAAGCCACUAGGCCGAGGGCACGCCUGCCUGGGCGUCACACGUCGUUGCCCCCCCCCAACUACUCCUUCGGGAUUGCGGGGGGCGGAUGAUGGCCUCCCGUGCGCCUAGCCGCGCGGUUGGCAUAAAUACCAAGUCCGCGGCGACGCACGCCACGACAAUCGGUGGUUGCGAAACCUCGUUUGCACGUCGUGUGCGUUCGUCGCGCAUCGAGGGCUCGAAAAAAUGCUCGGCUCCGGCUCGGCUUUCAACGCGACCCCAGGUCAGGCGGGGUUACCCGCUGAAUUUAAGCAUAUCAAUAAGCGGAGGA
rnacentral:misc_RNA from 1 species